UUAUGGCUCAGGAUGAACGCUAGCGGCAGGCCUAACACAUGCAAGUCGAGCGGUAGGGACCCUCGGGUCUGAGAGCGGCGCACGGGUGCGUAACGCGUAUGCAACCUGCCCUACACCGGGGAAUAGCCCGUCGAAAGGCGGAUUAAUGCCCCAUGGUCCUUUUUCCGGGCAUCCGGGGAGAGGUAAAGAUUCAUUGGUGUAGGAUGGGCAUGCGUGCCAUUAGCUGGACGGUGGGUAACGGCCCACCGUGGCGACGAUGGCUAGGGGUUCUGAGAGGAAGGCCCCCCACACUGGGACUGAGACACGGCCCAGACUCCUACGGGAGGCAGCAGUGAGGAGUAUUGGUCAAUGGGCGGAAGCCUGAACCAGCCCAUGCCGCGUGCGGGAAGAAGGCGCUACGCGUCGUAAACCGCUUUUGUCCGGGGGUAACCGUGGGGACGUGUCCCCACCUGCAAGUACCGGACGAAUAAGGGUCGGCUAACUCCGUGCCAGCAGCCGC
rnacentral:rRNA from 1 species